AGGAUCCAACGACUUCGACAAGCUUCAACUCUGAGUGCUGCAAAAACAGGACAAAUGGCUAACAGCAAGUGGAUGUAAAUUUAGCUUUCUGAGCAGGAUUACCACACACCUGCCUGUGAACACCGCUGACACCCACCUGAGAGAGACGCUGCCUAAGAUCUCAAGGUUGCUUGGUCAUGGUCUUCCUGCUCCAGAACGCCUUCAUCAAUUACGUCUUGGGUGAUUCCAUCUGAAUUCACAGAUGGGGGUUGCAGCACCAUUUUCAAUUUGCCUGUGGGAGAUAGUGGUGGGAGAUCAUGAUAAAAAAAAAAACUUUAUGUGCAAAAUUACAGGCAUCUAGUCCCAGUAGUUUUUGAGUUAUGGCAUUUUCAAAUUUUAAUAAUUCAGGCCAAAAUGCCCUCCCCCCAAUCCUCGCCUGGAAUUUUUAAGUUUUAAAAUGCUUAUAUCUCUGCUUCUGGGUAUCACAGACUUGAAUUUUUUUCUCCAAGCUCUCUACAUGUUAGUGAUGUCGUAGAAACAACACACACACUCAGGAGAAGUCUCUACAGAGCAGGGGGGCUUGCCCAAAAUGUAUAAAUUAUUUGUAAAAAACACUCGUGAGUAGGGUUAAGGGUGUUUAAAAUAUCAGAAAUCUUACAGAUUAAUGUCUUAGCACCAUUUAGUAUUGCUCUAGACCAGACUGGCUUAUAACUUAUACAGGGGGAGCCCUCUAGGCACAUUAUUUAGAGAGAUAUGGACUGCUGAACAUUGCCCCCCAUGAAAAGUGCCUAAUUUUCAAGGACCCUGAAGUCAAUGUAGCACAGGUGGUAGAGAUCUGCAAAUUUGCACAGAAAUUCAUCUAUCCUCUUACUAUAGCCAUGCAAAGUCCCAACUUCUAGCCAUCACUGCAUCAUGCUCAAUUUUACCCCAAAACUUACCAUACUCAAUGAACUGAUACGUCAUCUAGUGUUAAACUGAAUAAGAAUUCUUAAUAAUAUAAAAUGUAACUGACUGAGCUGUAUUAAUUAAAUCAAGAUAUUUCAAACUGAUAGAAACAGAAGAUUGACAGAAAGAUUUAAGUCAAAUAAACUUAAAUUAAUUUACCUAAGAAAACCAUCCUUACCUUAAAAUGACCAACAUUUUUUAAAAGUAUAGCUGCAAAGUAAAAGUUUCACACUAAAAAUGAAUCACUGAUGAACAUUUAAUGGCAUUAACUCAAUUAUUCUGAGGACACAGAUAUCCAUUUCUAAUAUUUCUAUCAAAUAUGUUUAUGUCUAUAAAAUAUACUAUACAUCAAUAAAAAUGUCUGCAUAGUGAAAUAUAUGAAGUCCAUCUGCAUUUAUACAUCAUAUUGAUGUUUAAAUAAUGGGAACUGCAGCCCACGUUCAGUCAAAUUAGCAGAAUUACGGAUAAAGGUUUCUUGGUUUCUCUGACAAAAUAAAAGCCGUGAUUUGUUUUACGGAAAAAUUACAUUAUUAUUAUUAUUAUUAUGAUUACAUAAUUUCAAAAAUGCGUCUUUGAAAAUGUAAAUUAAACUGUAAUAAGCGUUAGCUAGCUGCUCCAUUUGUUCUGAAUAUUUUUGUUCUCGUCUUAGUCAAGCCCAAACGAAAAAUUAAUCCACAUUCUGGCUACAUUACCGACAACAGCGCUGGAGUAACCGGAAGUUAGCUGACCUAGCGGAAGUGCUAAUGAGGUCUGCUCUGGCACGGAUUAUUACCGUCACACAUGUAGCUUUUAAAAUAAAUCCUGUCCAAGAUGCAGAGCUGUAGCUCCGUUUCAGUGUGAGGUCUAAUGUUUCUAUGUGUGACUGUGUCUGACUUCCUCUAAUAAAAUCCUCCUGUUCUCUUG